rnacentral:rRNA from 1 species
GACGAACGCUGGCGGCGUGCUUAACACAUGCAAGUCGAGCGGUAAGGCCCUUUCGGGGGUACACGAGCGGCGAACGGGUGAGUAACACGUGGGUGACCUGCCCUCAGCUCUGGGAUAAGCCUGGGAAACCGGGUCUAAUACUGGAUAUGACUCCAUGACGCAUGUUGUGGGGUGGAAAGCCUUGUGCGGCUGAGGAUGGGCCCGCGGCCUAUCAGCUUGUUGGUGGGGUGAUGGCCUACCAAGGCGACGACGGGUAGCCGGCCUGAGAGGGCGACCGGCCACACUGGGACUGAGACACGGCCCAGACUCCUACGGGAGGCAGCAGUGGGGAAUCUUGCGCAAGUGGGCGAAAGCCUGACGCAGCGACGCCGCGUGAGGGAUGACGGCCUGG